GCCGGUGUAGCUCAACUGGUAGAGCAACUGACUUGUAAUCAGUAGGUUGGGGGUUCAAGUCCUCUCGCCGGCACCU
rnacentral:tRNA from 1 species